rnacentral:rRNA from 2 species
UACAUGCAAGGUCGAAGCGAAACUGAAUUAGGAAGCUUUGCUUUCUAUGACGUUUAGCGGCCCCCUUUUAAAAAGAGUAACACGUGGGCAACCUGCCUGCCCCCAAAGAAAAUAACUUCGGGAAACCGAAGCUAAUACCGGAUAGGAUCUUCUCCCUCAUGGGAGAUGAUUGAAAGAUGGUUUCGGGUAUCACUUACAGAUGGGCCCGCGGUGCAUUAGCUAGGUGGAGAGGUAACGGCUCACCAGGGCCACGAUGCAUAGCCGACCUGAGAGGGUGAUCGGCCACACUGGGACUGACACACGGCCCAGACUCCUACGGGAGGCAGCAGUAGGGAAUCUUCCGCAGUGGACGAAAGUCUGACGGAGCAACGCCGCGUGAGUGAUGAAGGCUUUCGGGUCGUAAAACUCUGUUGUUAGGGAAGAACAAGUACGAGAGUAACUGCUCGUACCUUGACGGUACCUAACCAGAAAGCCACGGCUAACUACGUGCCAGCAGCCGCGGUAAUACGUAGGUGGCAAGCGUUAUCCGGAAUUAUUGGGCGUAAAGCGCGCGCGGGGGGUUUCUUAAGUCUGAUGUGAAAGCCCACGGCUCAACCGGGGAGGGUCAUUGGAAACUGGAGAACUUGAGUGCAAGAAGAAAAAAGCGAAUAAUUCCACGUAGUAGGCGAAGAAAUGCAGAAGAAAUGUGGAGGAACAACAG